rnacentral:rRNA from 1 species
CCUACGGGAGGCAGCAGUGAGGAAUAUUGGUCAAUGGACGGAAGUCUGAACCAGCCAUGCCGCGUGAAGGAAGACGGCUCGAUGAGUUGUAAACUGCUUUUGUACAAGGGUAAACCGGAAUACGUGUAUGCAGCUGAAAGUACUGUACGAAUAAGGAUCGGCUAACUCCGUGCCAGCAGCCGCGGUAAUACGGAGGAUCCAAGCGUUAUCCGGAGUUAUUGGGUUUAAAGGGUGCGUAGGCGGAUUGAUAAGUUAGAGGUGAAAUGUCCGUGCUGAACCCGGGAACUGCCUCUCAUACUGUUGAUCUAGAGCGUAGAUGCGGUAGGCGGAAUGUGUGGUGUAGCGGUGAAAUGCUUA